UUUUCCAAUACUAAGGAAGAGUUGGUGGUCGUUCAGUGAAGGUGGUGGGGCUUAAGGAUCUGUGCAUAAAUAUAUACAAUCCGUCAGCCGCUUUGUCAUCACUGUAUAGAGGACUUUGAUGGUGAGAAGCAAUAUAAACGAGAGUCUAAUUUAAUCAAAGGUUUAGACUCAUAAAUUUCUAAAGGCAGCUUUCUGCAGAACUUUGCAAUUGAUAAAGUAUAAAUAACACUUAAAAAUGGAGAUGUAAACAUUCUUGCAUAACGGUUGCAAAAAUUCUAUUGAAUGUAAUUUAAUGGCCAAGACAAGAAAGUUACGAUGAACAUGUUAAAUUGAGGUGGUGUAAAUUGAUGAAGGGUCUUUUGGUUCACCCUAAGUAUUCAAAACAAUUGAUUAAAAAAAUUUUCGGUUGUUUCUUAAUCAUAAAAGAAUUUGGGAUAUUAUUAAACCUUACUACUUUAUUGUUUUUUUAUUGUAUUUUCCUUAAGAUUAUCCAGACUAUUUUGUGUGUUUUCUCCUUAAAUAAUGAACUAAUUUUUCAUACACAAAACAGCAGACUGAAAAAUAAAUAAUAUUUUUCUAUUAAAUAUCAGGGUUGACCAGGACAUUUCAAUGACAAUGUACGCCUUCACUAUACUAUUGGAAAACGUUAGAACAAUUUCAUCAAUUUAAUGACUUUCUCAUUCAAGCAUUAUAAAU